rnacentral:snRNA from 1 species
AGAUGUGAGGGCGAUCUGUCUGUGACAUCUGUCACCCCACUGAUCGCCAGGGUUGACGCAAGUGAUCUGGCUGCCUAGGCGGGUGUCUUCUUCCUCCCUCGCCACUCCAUGUGCAUCCCUCCCAAAGCUGCACAAUGGUUCCAAGAGGAUGACCCUUCCCAAAAAAUAAGUAAUGUUAACCAACAGCUUCUGAUGGGAGCUAUCAAAAUUUAAAAUUUCUGUUU